rnacentral:rRNA from 1 species
GUCCUACGGGAGGCAGCAGUGGGGAAUAUUGCACAAUGGGGGAAACCCUGAUGCAGCGACGCCGCGUGAGUGAAGAAGUAUUUCGGUAUGUAAAGCUCUAUCAGCAGGGAAGAUAAUGACGGUACCUGACUAAGAAGCCCCGGCUAACUACGUGCCAGCAGCCGCGGUAAUACGUAGGGGGCAAGCGUUAUCCGGAUUUACUGGGUGUAAAGGGAGCGUAGGUGGCAGGGCAAGUCAGAUGUGAAAACCCGGGGCUCAACUCCGGGAGUGCAUUUGAAACUGUCCAGCUAGAGUGCAGGAGAGGG